GCCUCUGCUUGCCUCUCCCCAGGUAACUACUGAUGUGCUUUCUCUCAAUCAAGAUGAGUUUGCAUUUUCCAGAGUUUUAUAUAAAUGGAAUCAGACACUCUUACAGAGCAAGAGGAAGCAGGCUGUGAAACACAAUGUUCAUUGAAAUCGGCUUUCAUCUGAGGAAUCCCAUGGUGGCUCCUGCUUCGAGAUGUGCAUUCUGUCUGCAGCUGAGCUCUCCUGAUGCAUUUCCGCUGUUUGUUCUGAGGGGAAGGCAGCACCUUUAUGAGACUCACUCUUUUACUAGAGAAAAACAUCCUGGAUCCAAGAAAAAGUGGAUUAAGAAGAGGGCUAAGUCAGUACAUGGAGAAGCAAGUCAACACUGGUUACUCUGUCUUGCUAGACACCUUCUCUCUUCUAUCACAGCCCUUCCUUCUCUGCUCCACCCCAUCUGGACUGACCAGCCUCUAGCGCAAAGAUAAUUAUCUCUGUAUAUGGAUAGAAGGGUGAACAUGAGAUCUUCAUUUCCAUGGCACUUUUGACUCUGGAUAUAGUGUUUUCCUUGGACUCUUAAAAUAAGCUGGCAAAGUUGGGAAGGCAUGGUCUAUCUCAGCAGCAGAGGGGUCAGCAGAGAGACGGAAGAAGUAAUCAACACAAUAUCUACAAAGGCUGGGAUCCUGACUGCAAUUCUGUGCACCCCAAGAAUAAAUGGGAACAACAUUGGAACACAAGAAAAAAGAGUGAGGGAGAGAAUCAAACCCUGCAGGCUAUGUA